UACGUAGGGGCAAGCGUUGUCCGGAAUCAUUGGGCGUAAAGCGCGUGUAGGCGGCUCGAUAAGUCUGCUGUGAAAGUCCAGGCUCAACCCUGGGAUGCCGGUGGAUACUGUCGAGCUCGAGUCCGGAAGAGGCGAGUGGAAUUCCUGGUGUAGCGGUGAAAUGCGCAGAUAUCAGGAGGAACACCAAUGGCGAAGGCAGCUCGCUGGGACGGUACUGACGCUGAGACGCGAAAGCGUGGGGAGCAAACAGG
rnacentral:rRNA from 1 species